GGAGGAGAUGGUGCACGACGGCCGGCACGCGUGGCUGCGGCUCACUCCGGACGCGAUCGUCUCCUGGGACUUCCGC
rnacentral:tRNA from 1 species